rnacentral:rRNA from 1 species
GACGAACGCUGGCGGCGUGCUUAACACAUGCAAGUCGAACGAAGUGGCGAACGGGUGAGUAACUCGUAAUCAACCUGCCCUUCAGAGGGGGACAACAGUUGGAAACGACUGCUAAUACCGCAUACUGAAGGAGGGGCUUGCGUCUGAUUAGCUCGUUGGAGGGGUAACGGCCCACCAAGACGAUGAUCAGUAGCGGGUCUGGGAGGAUGAACGGCCACAUUGGGACUGAGAAACGGCCCAGACACCUACGGGGGGCAGCAGUGGGGAAUAUUCCGAAAAGGAGGAAAGUCUGACGGAGCAAAGCGGCGUGAGUGAUGACGGCCUUCGGGUUGUAAAGAUCUGUUAAUCGGGACGCGGUACCGGAAUAGAAAGCCACGGCUAACUACGUGCCAGCAGCCGCGGUAAUUC